UACGUAGGGCGCAAGCGUUGUCCGGAAUUAUUGGGCGUAAAGAGCUCGUAGGCGGCUUGUCACGUCGGAUGUGAAAGCCCGGGGUUUAACUCCGGGUCUGCAUUCGAUACGGGCUGGCUAGAGUGUGGUAGGGGAGAUCGGAAUUCCUGGUGUAGCGGUGAAAUGCGCAGAUAUCAGGAGGAACACCGGUGGCGAAGGCGGAUCUCUGGGCCGAUACUGACGCUGAGGAGCGAAAGCGUGGGGAGCGAACAGG
rnacentral:rRNA from 1 species